UCUCCAGGUGUCCCGAGGCCUCGCUGACGCCGGAGAGGGUGCCCCUGCUUUUUUCCGUUUGUUGGCCAUUGCUACUAAGACCUGCUUUUUCUACUGAGACGAAGUGCCUGUUAAAGUGCCUAUUUUUUUUGUUGCCUAUUAUUAGUUCUACCGAGACUCAAUUGGUUCUCCUUAGACUGCCGAUUGGCUGAUGGCCCCGUCAAUCAGGGGAAAGAACUAGUUUUCAGACACCUGGGGAAAGUAUUACUUCUAGCCCCUUCUUGCUGAAAUGAAGGGUUCUGGAGAAAACCCAAGAGAUUAGUGAUAAAAAUGGAAGAAGAGCGCAUUUCCCAACACUUCCAAUAACCCAGUGCUAUGGACUGAAUUGUGCACCCCUCAAACUCCUAGUGUGAUGUUCACAGGAAACAUCCUGACCAGGCCCACCUGUGAAUGACUGCAGGAAGGAAGAAAUUAACACAUCCCCUCUGGAAGCUGACCAGAAGCAGGAAAUGUUUGACUUUACUGCCUCCCCUUUUAGUGUAAAAGAAGCCUGAAUUCUAAUUAUGGCAAGAUGGUUCUUUGGGACAUGAGUCUACCAUCUUCUUAGUCUACCAGUUUUCCAAAUAAUGUUGCUAUGCUUUGCCCGAACAUCUCGUCUCUCAACUGAUUGGUCUGUCAUGUGGUGAGCAGUAUGAGCUUGGACUCGGUAAGAUUUGGGCAAGUCAAUCUUUUGAUAUCGUUUAGGCAGCACCCCAGUUCUUUGGGAAAUUGAAAGCAACUGUCUUUGUCUUGCAAGUAUUUGCAAGAUCAGAAAUAUAAACACAGCCCAAAAUGGCCUGAGACUGAGCCUAGUUAACUCAAUCAGGUAGAACCUGAAAUCUAAAGGGAGAAAAAAAGAGGGAAAGAAGCCUUUUUAAAAGUAAAAACUGCUGGCACCCAGACAUAUUGUAAUUAUUCCAUUUAUAUGAAAUAUCCAGAAUAGGCAUAUCCAUAGGAAGCUCAUUAGCAGUUGCCAGGGACUGAGUGGGAAAUGGAAAGCAAUUGCUAAUGGAUACAGGGUUUCUUCUUGGGGUGAUAGAACUAGUGGUGAUGAUUGUACACCUCUGUGAAAAACCACUGAAAUGUACACUUUAAAAGGGUGAAUUUUAUGGCAUGUGAGUUAUAUCUCAAUAAAAAUUACAGCAUU